rnacentral:lncRNA from 1 species
UCACGGAUGCCCUUGAGCAGCGUUCACAGCUGCACAUCUGGCCUUGGGACCGGCCGUUACUGGUGGUGAAGUGGUUGUGCUGCCGAUCGCCCGUGUGUUCCCGCAAACCUGGUGCCCAGAAGUGGAGACUGCGGCCCCCAGGCUCUGUGUCAGGGCCUCACAGUCACCCAUGCAGCGGCUCCUCCGACCAAGGCCUUACGCCUCCCCCUUGCUGUCCUUGGCCCGUGGGGGCUGAAGGCCCCUAGAGCUCCGGGGAUACUGGCAGGGGCGGGCAUGCUGGGGACAAGCUGGUCUGCCGGCUCGCAGAGCGAUUCUGACUGAUUUGCUGUCUGCUGGAAGCUCAGUUUUGAGAAUCAAUACUUAGGUUCGGUAGAAGAGAGUGAGCUGAUUAAUGAUGUUUGCUCUGAGUGUAGAAUGUUGACAGCAGUUCGUGGUGUUUUUACCUUCAGUGUGCUUCAUGGUUAAGAGCUGCUGUUUGGUUAUUUCCAUUAUGGAUGAGUAUGAUGAAAAUUACAUACCUUUUAAAAUCGACCAUACGGAGGAGGAGAAAUGCCACAUUCAGAUUGACCUGGAGGAGUUUCAUGUGUGUGCCCUCUCCUCGCCCGCCUGGCUGUCAGAUGCCAAAACUGAGAGCCAUGGACAUUAAAUGACAUGCCCCCGAUCUUGGGGAGAGCCCCUGUUAUGUGAGAAUCAAACCCAGGUCUUGUGGACUUUUUGCUUUGCUAUGCAGUUCCUGCUUUCUCAUCUUUCCCUGGAUAUCCAGUUCACACAUGCACGACCCUCUCCUGGACUGGUUGGUGGCAGUACUUUGAAGGACAGGAUGCAGAUCAGUGUGCCUUGGACUCUCACUGAUACUGAGGAUUGAACUCGGGACCUUGCACUUGCAAGGCAGGCGGUGGAACCACUGAGCUAAAUCCCCAGCCCCUUGCAACAGUUCUUUUGCAAAAAGAACUUGAGAGUCGAGGCGGUGUUGCUUCCAGGAAGGUUUGUCGGGGGCUCUGGAAGGCAUCUCGGCUAGACUGUCAGUGCUCAUGGCUUAAACAGGGACUCCCAUACCAUGUGGUAAUAUGUAUUAAACUUUAAAAUUAUGCAAUACGGAUCUCGUUACAAAUUCUGAGGGCACUUACAUGUGUGUGUGUUUGUGUGUGUGUGUGUGUGUGUGUGGUGUCUAAUGGGAUCCGAAAGGAGGAGAGUCCCAGUUCUGACUUCAAGUUUUCUCAAACAAAACAGCCUUCCUUCUAUUCUGUCAUAGCCUUGGCAGGAAUUGGGGAAACUGCCCAGACAGCCACAUGGAUGACUCAGGCAGCGGAAGCGUAACUCCUAGUUUUCAAUUCCCUCUUCUUUUCUGGCCCUGGGAGUUUGCCUUAUUUACUUUCGAAUGCAUUCGUGCAUUCUGAAGCACGGUUAGGGUAUCUUCUCUAGCAUCUGAAGAUGCUUUUGAUAGGUCUCCUACUACCUCAGCAGCUAUUAUGUAUAGUAGCUGCCCUCUCCCUAUGAUGCCUUGCCCCCUCCCCUGUGUGACGUCAUGCCAAGAUGGUUGUUCCCACCAAAGAACAAACCCUUCUUCCCAGCAUGCCCCUGUUCCCGCCUAGAGAGUAACCUAAUACUCGCUCACCUCCUACCACCUAGUGACAUCACCAGCUCCUCCAUUCCCUAGUCCAACCCCACCUCAGCCCCUACUAAACCCCCUCAGUCUCUAUAAAAGACU